rnacentral:rRNA from 1 species
GGGGAAUUUUGGACAAUGGGCGCAAGCCUGAUCCAGCAAUGCCGCGUGAGUGAAGAAGGCCUUCGGGUUGUAAAGCUCUUUUGUCAGGGAAGAAACGGUGAGGGCUAAUAUCCUUUGCUAAUGACGGUACCUGAAGAAUAAGCACCGGCUAACUACGUGCCAGCAGCCGCGGUAAUACGUAGGGUGCAAGCGUUAAUCGGAAUUACUGGGCGUAAAGCGUGCGCAGGCGGUUAUGUAAGUCAGAUGUGAAAUCCCCGGGCUCAACCUGGGAAUGGCAUUUGAGACUGCAUGGCUAGAGUGUGUCAGAGGGGGGUAGAAUUCCACGUGUAGCAGUGAAAUGCGUAGAGAUGUGGAGGAAUACCGAUGGCGAAGGCAGCCCCCUGGGAUAACACUGACGCUCAUGCACGAAAGCGUGGGGAGCAAACA